UACGAAGGGGGCUAGCGUUGUUCGGAAUUACUGGGCGUAAAGCGCACGUAGGCGGACAUUUAAGUCAGGGGUGAAAUCCCAGAGCUCAACUCUGGAACUGCCUUUGAUACUGGGUGUCUUGAGUAUGGAAGAGGUGAGUGGAAUUCCGAGUGAUAGAGGUGAAAUUCGUAGAUAUUCGGAGGAACACCAGUGGCGAAGGCGGCUC
rnacentral:rRNA from 1 species